rnacentral:rRNA from 1 species
AGCGUAGGCGGGAUCGUGGGUCAGCCGUGAAAUCCACCGGCUCAACCGGUGAACUGCGUUGAAACUACGGUUCUUGAGUUCGGUAGAGGAAUGCGGAAUUCCUGGUGUAGCGGUGGAAUGCGUAGAUAUCAGGAAGAACACCGGUAGCGAAGGCGGCAUUCUGGGCCGUAUCUGACGCUGAGGCUCGAAAGCCGGGGGAGCGAACAGGAUUAGAUACCCUGGUAGUCC